rnacentral:sRNA from 1 species
GUUUCAAUUCCUCAUAGGCAGGCUAUCGGCUACUGGCUUCAACAUCAUUUUCGAAAUUCAUGAAGUG